rnacentral:rRNA from 1 species
AGAGUUUGAUCCUGGCUCAGAUUGAACGCUGGCGGCAUGCCUUACACAUGCAAGUCGAACGGCAGCACGGGAGCAAUCCUGGUGGCGAGUGGCGAACGGGUGAGUAAUAUAUCGGAACGUGCCCAGUCGUGGGGGAUAACGCAGCGAAAGCUGUGCUAAUACCGCAUACGAUCUAUGGAUGAAAGCGGGGGAUCGCAAGACCUCGCGCGAUUGGAGCGGCCGAUAUCAGAUUAGGUAGUUGGUGGGGUAAAGGCUCACCAAGCCGACGAUCUGUAGCUGGUCUGAGAGGACGACCAGCCACACUGGAACUGAGACACGGUCCAGACUCCUACGGGAGGCAGCAGUGGGGAAUUUUGGACAAUGGGCGCAAGCCUGAUCCAGCAAUGCCGCGUGCAGGAUGAAGGCCUUCGGGUUGUAAACUGCUUUUGUACGGAACGAAACGGCGAGCUCUAAUAAAGUUUGCUAAUGACGGUACCGUAAGAAUAAGCACCGGCUAACUACGUGCCAGCAGCCGCGGUAAUACGUAGGGUGCAAGCGUUAAUCGGAAUUACUGGGCGUAAAGCGUACGCAGGCGGUUAUAUAAGACAGAUGUGAAAUCCCCGGGCUCAACCUGGGACCUGCAUUUGUGACUGUAUAGCUAGAGUACGGUAGAGGGGGAUGGAAUUCCGCGUGUAGCAGUGAAAUGCGUAGAUAUGCGGAGGAACACCGAUGGCGAAGGCAAUCCCCUGGACCUGUACUGACGCUCAUGCACGAAAGCGUGGGGAGCAAACAGGAUUAGAUACCCCUGGUAGUCCACGCCCUAAACGAUGUCAACUGGUUGUUGGGUCUUCACUGACUCAGUAACGAAGCUAACGCGUGAAGUUGACCGCCUGGGGAGUACGGCCGCAAGGUUGAAACUCAAAGGAAUUGACGG